rnacentral:misc_RNA from 1 species
CUUCCUCAAAAGCUGGUAUUACCUGAACAUUAAAAGGUCUCUAUUUUGAGUAUAAAUGACAUUUAUGAAGCAAGUGAGCCACGUUGCAAAAUUAAUAUGGUCAAAUCAUCCUCAAAUCUCAACUUAAUCCCAGUCUGUGCACUUGCACCACACAACUGAAUAUAAAUAUUGCCAGCUUCUGAUAUAAUCUCAUUGACUCUAAAAGGACAAACUGCUAAGUAGACACUGUAAAUGUAUAAGACCAAAGAAAAGUAUGAGCACUACCCAAGGUUAAUACUAAAGAAAGUUCCUAACAAAAGCAUGAGUGCAAAUGUGAAGUUCCAUAUGAAUACAGGGAUAAGAUUGCACAAUCAAGGAAAUAAGUUUCACCUCGCCAGAUCCUAGUUUGAAU